rnacentral:lncRNA from 1 species
UUGGGGAGAGGUGAUUAGGCAUGACAUGGUUAGAAUGCGGGUUUCGGAGGUCAUGACCCUUGAUAGGAAAGUCUGGGGGUCUAGUAUCAGGGUUGUAGGAUAGGGGCCCCUAGAGUUUUUCGUACUCCUCACCCGGGGUUGGGUGAGGCUUGGCAGGGCUAUCCAUAGAUGAUUUGUGUAUUAGAUUGUGUCUCCCUUAUGGUAGUUAUUUAUGGUAGUUAUUAUAUGAUAUUAUUGCAUGCUAUUUUAUUUAUGGUUCUUAUGUUUAGACAAUUAUUUACGCUAUUUCUGCUGAAGUUACUAAUACUCUUUUGUUUUUGCUUUUGUUGUU